UACGUAGGGUGCAAGCGUUAUCCGGAUUCACUGGGUUUAAAGGGUGCGUAGGCGGGCAGGUAAGUCAGUGGUGAAAUCCUUGAGCUUAACUCGAGAACUGCCAUUGAUACUAUCUGUCUUGAAUAUUGUGGAGGUAAGCGGAAUAUGUCAUGUAGCGGUGAAAUGCUUAGAUAUGACAUAGAACACCUAUUGCGAAGGCAGCUUACUACGCAUAUAUUGACGCUGAGGCACGAAAGCGUGGGGAUCAAACAGG
rnacentral:rRNA from 1 species